rnacentral:misc_RNA from 1 species
UCGUAACAAGGUCUCCGUUGGUGAACCAGCGGAGGGAUCAUUAUAGAGUUUUCUAAACUCCCAACCCAUGUGAACUUACCUUUUGUUGCCUCGGCAGAAGUUAUAGGUCUUCUUAUAGCUGCUGCCGGUGGACCAUUAAACUCUUGUUAUUUUAUGUAAUCUGAGCGUCUUAUUUUAAUAAGUCAAAACUUUCAACAACGGAUCUCUUGGUUCUGGCAUCGAUGAAGAACGCAGCGAAAUGCGAUAAGUAAUGUGAAUUGCAGAAUUCAGUGAAUCAUCGAAUCUUUGAACGCACAUUGCGCCCAUUAGUAUUCUAGUGGGCAUGCCUGUUCGAGCGUCAUUUCAACCCUUAAGCCUAGCUUAGUGUUGGGAAUCUACUUCUCUUAGGAGUUGUAGUUCCUGAAAUACAACGGCGGAUUUGUAGUAUCCUCUGAGCGUAGUAAUUUUUUUCUCGCUUUUGUUAGGUGCUAUAACUCCCAGCCGCUAAACCCCCAAUUUUUUGUGGUUGACCUCGGAUCAGGUAGGAAUACCCGCUGAACUUAAGCAUAUCAAUAA